rnacentral:rRNA from 1 species
ACUCAAAUGAAUUGACGGGGACCCGCACAAGCGGUGGAUGAUGUGGUUUAAUUCGAUGCAACGCGAAAAACCUUACCCACCUUUGACAUGGCAGGAAGGUCUCAGAGAUGGGAUUGUGCCCGAAAGGGAACCUGCACACAGGUGCUGCAUGGCUGUCGUCAGCUCGUGUCGUGAGAUGUUGGGUUAAGUCCCGCAACGAGCGCAACCCUUGCCAUUAGUUGCUACGAAAGGGCACUCUAAUGGGACUGCCGGUGACAAACCGGAGGAAGGUGGGGAUGACGUCAAGUCCUCAUGGCCCUUAUAGGUGGGGCUACACACGUCAUACAAUGGCUGGUACAGAGGGUUGCCAACCCGCGAGGGGGAGCCAAUCCCACAAAGCCAGUCGUAGUCCGGAUCGCAGUCUGCAACUCGACUGCGUGAAGUCGGAAUCGCUAGUAAUCGCGGAUCAGAAUGUCGCGGUGAAUACGUUCCCGGGUCUUGCACACACCGCCCGU